GACUGGCCAGAGGCCAGAGCCCGGGGCCAGCAAACCUUUCCCUGCUGUGAGGUGGGCAAGUUAGUUGCUCCAAAAACAAGAUAAAAUGAUUGAGUUCUUUUCUCAAGCGGGAGUCGGAGUUUAUCUGCUCUGAGAGCCCCAGCAGCUACUAUUAAUGAGUGUCUGGAAUAUGUUCCUGGCAUUUCACCUACCCUCUCUCCAAUCCUUCCAAGAAACUCACAAAGCAGGGCUUUUUCUUGAACUUCUCUUCCUCACAACAGUUAAAUCAUCCAUUUAAAGAUGUCAAAC
rnacentral:lncRNA from 1 species